CAACAGGGAUUGCCCUAGUAACGGCGAGUGAAGCGGCAACAGCUCAAAUUUGAAAUCUGGCCCUAGGCCCGAGUUGUAAUUUGCAGAGGAUGCUUCGGGCGCGGUGCCUUCCAAGUCCCCUGGAACGGGGCGCCGGAGAGGGUGAGAGCCCCGUACGGUUGGCGGCCAAGCCUGUGUGAAGCUCCUUCGACGAGUCGAGUAGUUUGGGAAUGCUGCUCUAAGCGGGAGGUAGACCCCUUCUAAAGCUAAAUAUAGGCCAGAGACCGAUAGCGCACAAGUAGAGUGAUCGAAAGAUGAAAAGCACUUUGAAAAGAGGGUUAAAUAGCACGUGAAAUUGUUGAAAGGGAAGCGCUUGUGACCAGACGUGCGCCGGGGUGUUCAGCGGGCGUUCUCGCCCGUGCACUCGCCUCGGCGCAGGCCAGCGUCGGUUCGAGUGGGAGGAUAAAGGCGUCUGGAAUGUGGCUCCUCCGGGAGUGUUAUAGCCAGACGUGCCAUGCUCCCGCCCGGACCGAGGUACGCGUUCUGCAAGGACGCUGGCGUAAUGGUCUCCAGCGACCCGUCUUGAAACACGGACCAAGGAGUCGAGGUUUUGCGCGAGUGUUUGGGUGUUAAACCCGCACGCGUAAUGAAAGUGAACGUAGGUGGGAGCUUCGGCGCACCACCGACCGAUCCUGAUGUUUUCGGAUGGAUUUGAGUAAGAGCGUAGGGCCUCGGACCCGAAAGAUGGUGAACUAUGCUUGGAUAGGGUGAAGCCAGAGGAAACUCUGGUGGAGGCUCGCAGCGGUUCUGACGUGCAAAUCGAUCGUCAAAUCUGAGCAUGGGGCGAAAGACUAAUCGAACCAUCUA
rnacentral:rRNA from 1 species